rnacentral:tRNA from 1 species
CCGGGAUAGCUCANCCGGUAGAGCAGAGGACUGAAAAUCCUCGUGUC